GACGAACGCUGGCGGCGUGCUUAACACAUGCAAGUCGAACGGAAGGGCCCUGCUUUUGUGGGGUGCUCGAGUGGCGAACGGGUGAGUAACACGUGAGUAACCUGCCCUUGACUUUGGGAUAACUUCAGGAAACUGGGGCUAAUACCGGAUAGGAGCUCCUGCUGCAUGGUGGGGGUUGGAAAGUUUCGGCGGUUGGGGAUGGACUCGCGGCUUAUCAGCUUGUUGGUGGGGUAGUGGCUUACCAAGGCUUUGACGGGUAGCCGGCCUGAGAGGGUGACCGGCCAAAUUGGGACUGAGAUACGGCCCAGACUCCUACGGGAGGCAGAAGGGGGGAAUAUUGAACAAUGGGCGGAAGCCUGAUGCAGCAACGCCGCGUGCGGGAUGACGGCCUUCGGGUUGUAAACCGCUUUCGCCUGUGACGAAGCGUGAGUGACGGUAAUGGGUAAAGAAGCACCGGCUAACUACGUG
rnacentral:rRNA from 1 species